GAGUACGUCUCGGGGUCCGUGCCAGGAGUGCGUUUGCAAAGCACGCGACAGUUUGCGUUUUGGCAAAGUUGACACUGUAAAUGCACUAUCUGGUACGACACCCCGGGAUGUUUUGCGAC
rnacentral:pre_miRNA from 1 species